GUGCCAGCAGCCGCGGUAAUACGUAGGGUGCAAGCGUUGUCCGGAAUUAUUGGGCGUAAAGGGUUCGCAGGCGGCUUUUUAAGUCAGGUGUAAAAGAUCACGGCUCAACCGUGGUAAGCACUUGAAACUGAAAAGCUUGAGUCAAGGAGAGGAAAGUGGAAUUCCUAGUGUAGCGGUGAAAUGCGUAGAUAUUAGGAGGAAUACCAGUGGCGAAGGCGACUUUCUGGACUUGUACUGACGCUGAGGAACGAAAGCAUGGGGAGCAAACAGGAUUAGAUACCCUGGUAGUCCAUGCCGUAAACGAUGAGUGCUAGGUGUCGGGUGUCAAAGCUCGGUGCCGCAGCUAACGCAUUAAGCACUCCGCCUGGGGAGUACGUACGCAAGUAUGAA
rnacentral:rRNA from 1 species